AUCCAGCCCACGUGUCCCAAAUAGGACGAAAUGCGCAUCCUGGAU
rnacentral:hammerhead_ribozyme from 1 species